rnacentral:rRNA from 1 species
ACACAUGCAAGUCGAGGGGCAGCAUGAACUUAGCUUGCUAAGUUUGAUGGCGACCGGCGCACGGGUGAGUAACACGUAUCCAACCUGCCGAUGACUCGGGGAUAGCCUUUCGAAAGAAAGAUUAAUACCCGAUGGCAUAGUUCUUCCGCAUGGUGGAACUAUUAAAGAAUUUCGGUCAUCGAUGGGGAUGCGUUCCAUUAGGUUGUUGGCGGGGUAACGGCCCACCAAGCCUUCGAUGGAUAGGGGUUCUGAGAGGAAGGUCCCCCACAUUGGAACUGAGACACGGUCCAAACUCCUACGGGAGGCAGCAGUGAGGAAUAUUGGUCAAUGGACGAGAGUCUGAACCAGCCAAGUAGCGUGAAGGAUGACUGCCCUAUGGGUUGUAAACUUCUUUUAUACGGGAAUAAAGUGAGGCACGUGUGCCUUUUUGUAUGUACCGUAUGAAUAAGGAUCGGCUAACUCCGUGCCAGCAGCCGCGGUAAUACGGAGGAUCCGAGCGUUAUCCGGAUUUAUUGGGUUUAAAGGGAGCGUAGGCGGACGCUUAAGUCAGUUGUGAAAGUUUGCGGCUCAACCGUAAAAUUGCAGUUGAUACUGGGUGUCUUGAGUACAGUAGAGGCAGGCGGAAUUCGUGGUGUAGCGGUGAAAUGCUUAGAUAUCACGAAGAACUCCGAUUGCGAAGGCAGCUUGCUGGACUGUAACUGACGCUGAUGCUCGAAAGUGUGGGUAUCAAACAGGAUUAGAUACCCUGGUAGUCCACACAGUAAACGAUGAAUACUCGCUGUUUGCGAUAUACAGUAAGCGGCCAAGCGAAAGCGUUAAGUAUUCCACCUGGGGAGUACGCCGGCAACGGUGAAACUCAAAGGAAUUGACGG